UGAAGAUUUCACUGGCCAAAUUUGACCAAACAUGUCUGGUCUGUUGUGUUUUGCGAUGAUGUUCUAAUCUGAACCUGAAGUUUUCACACAGAAAAAUCAGAUGAGGACACAGGACUCUCAACCAGGUUUUUCAGACACGCCCACAGUCCACAGCCCCUUCUGUUUCAUGAGCACUCUGAAAAUCAAGACACAAGACAAACAACCCCUUUGAACAAAGCUUUCUGAAGCAUCAUUCCAGCUAUAAAGGGAUGGAGAAGAAAGACCUUGAUCUUUGACUGCAUGGUAAGAGAUGCACCAAACUCCAUGCAGGAGUGAAAUCCUGCUGGGAUCACCACUGGAAUUCAGGUAUAACUAACUAGAAAACAUUAUGUGUUAUGUUUAUUUUACAUUAUCUCUUCUGUUUGCAUAUGCUGAAGAUGUCUAAAGACAUCGUACUCUUGACAUGCCCAUGACAAAGUUGCUAACAAAUUUGGCUUCCUGAUGGGAAGUCACCCAAGCCUGAAAUGUGCCACCUGCCCCUUCCCCUCCACACACUGGGCAUUCUCAGG
rnacentral:lncRNA from 1 species